rnacentral:rRNA from 1 species
UCUUUCCGGAAUUGAGUGGCAAACGGGUGAGUAACACGUAAACAACCUGCCUUCAGGAUGGGGACAACAGACGGAAACGACUGCUAAUACCGAAUAAGUUCCAAGAGCCGCAUGGCCCAUGGAAGAAAAGGUGGCCUCUACCUGUAAGCUAUCGCCUGAAGAUGGACUCGCGUCUGAUUAGAUAGUUGGUGGGGUAAAGGCCUACCAAGUCGACGAUCAGUAGCCGGUCUGAGAGGAUGAACGGCCACACUGGAACUGAGACACGGUCCAGACUCC